AAUUCUUGUUUUCAUUUUGCUUCCUUUUCCCUCACUGUUUUUUUUUUUUUAAAUAAAAAACAGCCGUUGCAUUUCAAAAUUAAAAUUCUCUCCCUUUUAAAUAGUGCUAAAGCUUCUUCUGGCCUAAAUUUCCCAUAAAAUAACCGUUGUAUUUUGCUCCCAAAAAAAAAAAAAAAAAAAAAAAAAGCCGUUAGUAUUUCAAAAUUGAAAUUCUCUCCCUUUAUAUAGCCGUUGCAUAAGCUCCUCCCUAAUUUUUCACUCUCUCUUCUUCUACUUCUUCAACCUCUCUCCAUAUCCUCCUCCUCUGGUCCCUUAGAUGUUAGUUAUUCUCGUCUCCUCCGUGUUGAGUGGGAAUACGGAGGCAGCGUCGUAGGUGUUUACUGUUGCAACGUGGAUCGCUAAGAAACAGAGCCUGAGUUUUGAGACGUUGAAUGACGUGGUACGGAAUUUUGUCACAGUGUGGACAGGGUAUUGGAAAGUUAACCUUCAGAAGCCAAAAAAUGUGUUGUUUUAGGCUUGGAUGAAGAUUAAUUUGAAGGAGUAAUGAAGAAAUUGGCAAUGGGUUUUAGGCUUCCCAGUUACUAUCAAAGAAGAGGAACAACCGUUAGUAGAAGAAAUAUCAAGACCAUGCACUUAUGCAGCUUUGGAAAUUAGAAGAAUAUAGAGAGGCUAAACCAAAAUGACGAAUACAAUUGUACAAUAUUUUCCUGUCUCCCUAUUUGAUUUGUUGGAUGUUUGAAUUAAAAGUUGAAUACUAUCACAUUAUCUGUGAGAGAGUUUUUUUAGUGUUUACUAAUUUAUGUUUGUUUGCAAGAUAAAAAUUGUUGAGAUCAAAGCCCAUAUCAGAUGGGCCAAUCUCUAGUCUUUCGUGUGUCCAAGUACAACUUACAGGUUUUUUUUUUUUUUUUUUCCCCUUUUUUUAUUUGGGGCUGAGGGCUCAAAUCGAGUUCACAGACUUGGGUUGGUGGUAUUCUUAUCAUCAGAACUACCAUGCGGCCUCAUACAACUUAGGUGUUGCAUUCGAUAAAUUUCAAUAUGAAUUUUAUUUAAUUUUA